GGGGAUUUAGCUCAGUGGUAGAGCACUUGCCUAGCAAGCACAAGGCCCUGGGUUCAGUUCCCAGCUCUG
rnacentral:tRNA from 1 species